UUCACUGUUACAAAGAGACUUCUGGUUUUUAUUCACAUGUGUGAAAAUUAUAUAAAAUUAAAGAAAUAAUCUUGAUCUAUACCAUAAUAUGAAUCUCUUAAUGAGUGGAAAGCAUGUCAGAUAGAUAAAAGUACGAAUAUUGAUGUUUUGUGAGUAGAAUCAGGGUGUUUUCAGUGGACAGAUGUUGUUCAGAGUGCAGGAGGUUUUUGUACGACGUCUAAACGAGUUUGUAUCACUGUGGUGGACUUUUGGUGGAGGAACCAAACUCAUCGCUGACGUGGGUGUGGUGCGGCCCACCCUGACUGUCCUCCCCACCUCCACAGAGCAGGAGCAGCAGACCAGUGUCACACUGGUGUGUCUGGCCAGCGGGGGCUCGCCCUCCACCUGGACUCUGGGCUGGAAGGUGGGGGGCAGCAGCAGGUCUUCAGGGGUGUCCAACAGCCUGGAGGUGGUGGGGGAGGACGGCCUCUGCAGCUGGAGCAGCACCCUGACCCUCCCUGCAGACCAGUGGAGGAAGGCGGGCUCAGUGAGCUGUGAGGCCAGUCUGAGUGGACAGAGCCCCGUCACUCAAACCCUGGACCCUGACGGCUGCUCAGAGUAGAGCUUCAGCAGCACAGCAGCUUCAACAGCUGCUGAUGUUUCUGCUAAAUGAUGCAUCUGCUUUUACUGUGAUAAAUAUGUAUUUUACUCAUGUCUGCUCCACAUUUAUUUUUCAAAAUGCAACU